GACGAACGCUGGCGGCGUGCCUAACACAUGCAAGUCGAACGAGGCCACUCCUUCGGGAGUGAGUCGAGUGGCGGACGGGUGAGUAACACGUGAGCAACCUGUCCCUGUGCGGGGGACAACCCGGGGAAACCCGGGCUAAUACCGCAUGGGCGGAGCCUUCGAGUGGAGGCUCCGGGAAAGAUGGCCUCUUUACAAUGCUAUCGCGCAGGGAGGGGCUCGCGGGCUAUCAGCUUGAUGGUGAGGUAAUGGCUCACCAUGGCAGCGACGGCUACGGGGUCUGAGAGGACGACCCCGCACAUUGGAACUGAGACACGGUCCAGACUCCUACGGGAGGCAG
rnacentral:rRNA from 1 species